UCGUCCUGCUCGUGAUCGUCUUCUCAACCUUCACGUGCGGGCGGAAAGAAGAAGGACCCCCGCGAGGACGUGACUCGCGGGGGUCCUUC
rnacentral:ncRNA from 1 species